GAGUGGACCAUCAGAUCUUGGCUCAUCCGC
rnacentral:tRNA from 1 species